CCAAAACGUCUAGCUUCCCCCUCAGUUAAGUGUUCAAAGUGUCCUAACUUCCAGCUUUGAAAUAGGACUGAAGAUGAACCAUGCUCCUGGCACCCCCUGUUGAGAGCCCAAGUUCAGCAGAUUGCGGCCAUGGGGGACUGAAAAUGGAGCCCUGGACAAAGACACUUGCUGGGUGACCCAAGGCAAGACUUUCCAUGUACACUAUGAAUGCCAAGUGCUGUGAAUACCAACCCAUGCUUUCAAAGAGCCUGCUGCCUCAGAGCAUGUGAUGUGGAACUUUCUGGUGGCCUCGGCGUGGAGGUUCUCAACCUCAGCUGCACACUGUGUUUAGUUGGUCUGGAGCGAGAUCUAGGCAUCAGUAUAUUUUUUAAGCUCCCCAUGUGAU
rnacentral:lncRNA from 1 species